rnacentral:tRNA from 1 species
UUCAAAUUAGGUUAUUUAUAAAUCGUUAGUUUGUGAUACUAAAGAUACUAGGCUAGUAUUUGAAA